CCUACGGGAGGCAGCAGUGAGGAAUAUUGGUCAAUGGACGAGAGUCUGAACCAGCCAAGUAGCGUGAAGGAUGACUGCCCUAUGGGUUGUAAACUUCUUUUAUAUGGGAAUAAAAUGUUCCACGUGUGGGAUUUUGUAUGUACCAUAUGAAUACGGAUCGGCUAACUCCGUGCCAGCAGCCGCGGUAAUACGGAGGAUCCGAGCGUUAUCCGGAUUUAUUGGGUUUAAAGGGAGCGUAGGUGGAUUGUUAAGUCAGUUGUGAAAGUUUGCGGGUCAACCGUAAAAUUGCAGUUGAAACUGGCAGUCUUGAGUACAGUAGAGGUGGGCGGAAUUCGUGGUGUAGCGGUGAAAUGCUUAGAUAUCACGAAGAACUCCGAUUGCGAAGGCAGUUCACUGGACUGCAACUGACACUGAGGCUCGAAAGUGUGGGUAUCAAACAGGAGUAGAUACCCGAGUAGUC
rnacentral:rRNA from 1 species